ensembl:lncRNA
UUAGACUGUAACAUUCUUGUGUAGGUGAUGUUCAACACCUAUGCAAUAAAUGGAGGACCAAUUAUUGAAUUACCAUGACUGAUAUCAGCUAUUUUUUUCCAUCCUCCACUACAGUGAUUUAGACUUUCUUGGAAAGAAGAGACUUCAGUAAUUGUAUCAGAGCAGUGAUAAGAAAUAUUACAUCCAUCUCCUCAGCACAGUUCCCAUAGAAAUUGGAAAAGCCUUUAAUUUGACAACUAUAGAAAGAAAAGAAUUGAAGACUAUUUUUAAGGAAAAAAUACAUAAAAAACAACUAAAAGUUGUUUCAAGUGUGACACAGAAGAGCAUGAAGUUUUGGGAAAUAUAAGAACAAAUUAGACAACUCAAUUCUCAUUCCAGCUGUUGAAUUGUUGAAGAUUGUUG